CCCCAGCGCCACAAGUGGUUAUCACGAUUAUUGGGCCUAAAGCGUUCGUAGCCGGUUUGGUAAAUCUCUUGUGAAAUUGUUCGGCUUAACCGGACAGCGUGCGGGAGAGACUGCCAGACUCGAGACCGGGAGGCGUAUGAAGUAUUCCAUGGGGACUGGUAAAAUGGGAUAAUCCAUGGAAGACUACCGAUGGCGAAGGCAUCAUACGAGAACGGAUCUGACGGUGAGGAACGAAAGCCAGGGGAGCGAACCGG
rnacentral:rRNA from 1 species